GUGCGAGCUUCGGCUCUCACACUCCUCACACCCUCCAGCCCGGCGCGUCCGGGCCUU
rnacentral:sRNA from 1 species